rnacentral:rRNA from 1 species
UACGUAGGGUGCAAGCGUUGUCCGGAAUUAUUGGGCGUAAAGAGCUCGUAGGCGGUCUGUCACGUCGGGAGUGAAAACCCAGGGCUCAACCCUGGGCCUGCUUCCGAUACGGGCAGACUAGAGGUAUGCAGGGGAGAAUGGAAUUCCUGGUGUAGCGGUGAAAUGCGCAGAUAUCAGGAGGAACACCGGUGGCGAAGGCGGUUCUCUGGGCAUUACCUGACGCUGAGGAGCGAAAGUGUGGGGAGCGAACAGG